CAUUAACUUUCCUCGUGGCGUUCAAUUGUUCUCGCGAGAUUUCGGGCUCACUAUUAGCCGGGUCGCGGGCUGGAUCUUCCUUUCUUUGCGCGAGGUUGUGGAGAGAAACUACAUCACGUUUACCGAAUUGUCAGAACUCUUAAGCAAAUAACAAGUGGCGAAUAAAACAAUUUGGAGAAGGACUUGGGAGAUAUGUAACUGGAAUGAAUUUUAACUAUAAUGGCAUCUAAUUCAGCUGUGGAAAUUGAAAAUGAGAGGGGCAAAGAAACCCUACUAGAAAGUUUGUUCAUUCACCUGAAGAUGUUCAGGCAAGGGAUUCAUCUAGUGACUCCUCUUUUGAACCAAGACCAUUGACUUUAAAAGCUAUUUUUGAAAGAUUCAAAAAAAAGAAACGUAAAAAGAGGAAAUAUAAACCAACAGGAAGACCAAGGGGAAGACCAAAAGGGAGAAAAAACACUAGACGUUCCCAAAUAAAUAAGAAACAAGUUCAAGAUAAAGGAUCUGGGUUCCCAUUUUUAGAAUCUGAGAAUGCAAGAAAACCAUUACCUUGGAGAAAAAUUUUAACCUUUGAGCAAGCAGUGGCAAGAGGAUUUUUCAACUACCUUGAAAAACUGAAGUAUGAAUACUACCUCAAGGAAUCCUUGAAACAAAUGAAUGUUGGUGAAGAUUUAGAAAAAGAAGAUUUUGACAGUCGUAGAUACAAAUACUUGGAUGAUGAUGGUUCUCUCUCUCCUAUUGAAGAAUCAGAAACAGAGGAGGCUGCAACAAAUCUUGAACAUAAUGAUGAAUGUGAUAUCAAAUUGGUGGACAAUAAUGAUUUCAUAAUAAGUUCUGAAGUACCAAAGAUGAAGAAUGUGUAUUUAGAACAAGAAGAAUAUACUGAAGAAGCCGCUUUGUCUAAAAAGAGAGCAUCAAAGUCCAAAAACAUUGGACAGGACAGAAUGGCCUGAAAAGAGAUAGGAAUAUGAAUGUUAAGGUAAAUAGAACAGAGAAAACAGCUUUUUGUAGAAAGAUGAAAAACACAAAUAUAUAUGUUGGCGUAGUGAUAAAGAACCUGCUAAGGAGAAAAAAAGAAUGUCUGAACAAGUUAAUGAAACUCGUAACGAAUUACUAGAAAAAACCAUUUUAAAAACAGUGAAAUUAUACACAUAGAAAAAAUUGAGGCUUGCAUAUAGCAGAAAUAAUCACUUGAGAAAUCUGUUUUGCCUCUGCUUGUUUAUUUCAGGGUAAGCACUUAAAAGGCAUCAUUUGAGCCUUCAAGAAGUACAGAGACUGUAAAUCUUUUAUUACAGUAAUCACUAAUGAUGGACGGCAACCAUCCAUUCCUCAGAGUACCUGAAACGGGUUUUGCCCGCAGUUUUAUUCAGAUAAAAGUGACCUUUAGCUUCAAAUAUGUAGUACCAUAAUAACUAGUUACCUAGACUAUUUCAGCUACCACUUACUAUGCAUAUUGCUGAGUAUGCCACUAAAUAUAUACUGUAUUUUAUGAUCGCACUUGUGCUUGUUUUUGUUUAGUUUGUGAACAAAGACUUAGACUAAGUGCAAAAAAUAAAUCCUCUUUUGCAACCCAGAACUCAUGGCACAGUAUGAGUUUUGAUACAUACAAGAAGGAACAAGAUCCCUAAAACAGAUUAAAGUGAUGGUGGGUAUAUUGACAAACCUGAAGGGCGGUUCCAGGACUGUAGAAUUACUAAAGGUAUAUAAGGGAAGGGGUGCCUGGGUGGGUCAGUCAUUAAGCGUCUGCAUUGGGCUCAGAUCAGGAUCCCAGGAUCCUGGGAUCUAGCCCUGCAUCAGGCUCCCUGCUUGGUGGGGAAGCUUGCUGCUUCUCCCACUCGCCCUGCUUGUGUUCCCUCUCUCUGUCAAAAAUAAAUAAAAUCUUCAAAAAAAAAAAAAAAUCUCAGCUAUAUUGAAUUAGAAUUCUAAUUUUAAUGCUGACAUGAAACAAAGAUGCUUUUUUUUUUAGGCUUUUCACUUGAACACAAUGUCUGGACUUUAAAGGUAUGUCUUAUGCUUCAGGUGUUGGCAUAUCCCAACAAUCUGUACAGUUCUAGGGUGUGAUGGCUUAGGGGUGAAUAGGAUUUGAACUCAUAUUUAGAGGGGUGUUUGAAAUUGAGAACCAGGCAGAUCCAGGCUCAGACCCUAACAGGGCCCCGGAGUAAAGACAUUGGAUCCCAAAGAUUACAGGUGGGGAGUUUUUGAAGUAUGUCCGUAUUCAAGUGGAGAUCGAAGAAGCUCAACCGAAAGAACUCUGGCAAGUUAAUUCUCUUACCAUAUAAUGGUCAUUACCAAGGCUUUGAGAAUGCAGUUUCUCAUUUGCUGUGGACAUGACCAUAAAAAAUUUUCCCACUAGGUUUUUUUUCUUUCUGCUACUUUGCUAGCAUUCAGCCUAUUGGGAACAUUUUAUCAACCGUGUUCUAUUUCCAUUGGCUAGAUCAGCACUGUCCAGUAUAAAUGUAACAAAAGCCAUAUGUGAUUUGGUAAUAGUCAUAUUUCAAAUUCUAAUCUGACCAUACAUGGCUAGUAUAUUGAACAGUGCGUGCCUAGAUUUCUACUCUUGCAAGUGUCUUUUGCUAAAUCACUCCUGCUAAUAUCCAUGCAACUUGUAAUACAAUAGAUUUAAUAGAGGGAGGCUGGCUUCAGUUUACAUGAUCAUCUCUGGAAAUGGAACCUUACUUUUAUGUUCCUGUUAUGUAGGACUGACAGUGACAACUGUGGAUUGAACAGUUCUUUUUAAAAGGUAUGUACACAUUUGAAAAAAAUAACUUCCAGGUCAUUUCAAAGAGGGCUUGUGGGACUAAAACCAAGAGCUCUUAACGCUAUGACCAAAUACUGGAAUUCUCCAUAGGAUGUAAUAGUUACUCAAUAGUGCUAUGUUUUCCUGAGGAGAUACAAGAUUUAGCUGCUUUUAUCCAUGAUUGGUCAAGUGGGAAAGAAGAAAUGUCUCCGAAGUUUAACCACUGUGUAUACUCUUGUUCUCAGGGCUAUUGUGAAGAUUAUGAUUCUGACUUUGGAGGAACUACGGUGAAUGGAAGCGGAAGGAAUCACAUGUAAAAUUCCUCAAAUAAAAAUUUAUUAACUUUAAAUAAUUUUGCCUAUAUUACACAUAAUUAAAAAAAACUUUACACUUUUAGUAGAAAGUCAGCAUGUAUUUUUGGCUCGAAGUUUCUGUAGUGUUUUCUGUGGAAGGAAUAAAAAAAUAAAAUUUAGCAUUUAUCCGUUGCAGUAUAUAUACCCUAGACAUGGAAAAAUUGUAGGGGGCCUAGCUCACCUUAUGAAAUUCUUUUGCCCUUGCUCUGUUUUGGGCAUAUGCAUCUUGCUUUGCUUUUUCUUCCCUUUGCCGUUUGACUUCAGCUAACUGAUUGUAUGAUCUGUAAAUUGAUACAUAGAAUUAAGGACACACAUUUUAGGAAUGUAAAUUACUAUUUGCUCACACACAUACACACACACCUAUACCUUAGGGCCCUUUGAUGCAUGAGGGCUUGUGCAGUCUUUCUGUCUUCAGGAAGUGACACUCUAACCUUAACCUUAUUCGCACCCUUCAGGCGACUCACAGAUGAGCCUGAGCAGAGAACAAGUGACUUGGCAAAUAUUACAAUGCUACAUUCUCUUUGUGAGACCUGAUGCAGAUUGUGUGGAACAUACCUGUAGGUUUCUCCUUAGCUAUUUUGGUUUGAGAAUUUUCAGGAAUACGAGUUUUAUUCUUUAUUUCUUUCUGUCUCUGGGAGGAUCUCUCCAUAAAUGAUUUUUUCCUCUUUAUAAAUGCUUCUUGUAAGCUCCCAGGUAGAGCUAUAAUCUUUGGAGGAGUUUCUGUUAAAAAAAAAAAAAACUGAAGCUUAAAUGUUUUGUGCCAGCAGUGUACAAGAUUGUGGGACAGUGUGAAUAUUGGAACUGAAUCGGGAACUCUGCCAGCCCCUCAGUUUAAGCAUUUCAGAUGCUCAAGGGCAUACCUGCCGACAGGAUCACUUGCUCCUUGCUGCAGUGUUCAGAUACACCUAGAUAAUCUGAGGUUUCUGUUUCUGAUAAAAGAGGCAGAAAUUCACUCACCUAAUUGCAAAAAAAAAAAAUUAUAGAUGAAUUUACCACUUUUCAUCUCACUGAACAGAAUCACAAGCGUAGGUUCUAAACCUUUUAAGUUCCUAGACCCCUGGUUCCCUUUGUUAGACAAAGAGAUGUGGUCUUUGGGGGAGAGGUAGGCAGCUGAGUGCCUUACUCUCUGCUCCCCUAAUGGAGUAUAGGAAUCCAUAUUCAAUAGACUUCGUUCUAUUCUUUCUUUGUGCUGGUUCUCACAUCUGAACUACAGGACUAAGUUUUCUGGGAAGGGAAAGUUUUAAUAAAUGACUUUAUUCCUAUUAAAAUGCUUUACCUGACCAGCCUACUCUAGCCAAAAGCUCCCCCCACCCCCUACCCUGAUAGCUGUCAAGUUCUUCCACACCACUUCUGCAUUAGCUCUUAGUCUCCUGCUUCUCCAAAUUACCCUUAUCAUGGCAACAAAAGUACUAGGUGUGGAGUCAUUAGAUAAAUAAUCUAAUACUGUAUCAGGCCACAGUACUCUCUAGAAUCUGGGACUUCCCUGUGAGAGUUUCCCUCUUAAUACACAAACAGUUAUCAGUGAAUUCAUCUAUUGUAAUCUAGGAUCUUAGCAAAUUAGUCAUUGGAGGGAAUUCUGCCAUACAUUUAAUGCUAUCUUCUAAGAAGUGAAGUGAGCCAGGAAGAAUGGUUUGCUUGCAGUGGAGAAAAGUAUAAGGAACCUGCAGCUAAAACCUAUCUUGGUGUUUUAUAACUUGAAAUACAUCUUCAUUUUUUCUUCAAGACACGCACAAAAUAAACUCAAAAGUAAUAGCACUCGUUCUGUACCGCCCUCAGUUCUGAUUUUUACCUAUCUUCUAGAGCUCUGCUGCCUCAGAACUUUUUUGGAACAAGAUUCAUCUUUCAUUGAAUCAAUUCAUUUCGCGAAUUCCAACCCUUCCAGGUACUAAUGAAAUCUACAGCAUCGUAAGAUAAAUGUCCCUCUCCUCAGCUGUCAGUUGCUUAAAGCACAGUAACCCUUCCUGUUCACUGUAGUUGACAGCAUUUGCACCCGGGAAAGGGAAGGAAAUUAGUUUGCAAACAAUUCUAAUGAAAAAAAGGAAAAACUUACCUGUUUCCUUAUUCUCAGCUAUGUGUUGGCUGUGUAAAAUGAGGUGUAUUCAUAUUAAAGGGAGCUAUGAAAUUUA